AUAGCCAUAGAAACGGAGAUUAAAAGGAUGGAAUAACUUAUUUUGUUCUAAACAAUAAUGUUGCUAUAAAUACGAACAUUUUCCUUGUUAGCUUCCUGAAAAGCACAGAACAUUUUAGCAGGCUCAUCUCUUAACAAAACAAACCAGCCUGCAAAUACCUUGCACCCCUCGAAAUCAUUCCCUGUUUUUGUUGGGAAAUGGGCAAACCCACGGUCUGUACCUGUCCCCUCUGGAAUCAAUAAACUGCACGGUAUUUUUCCAAACACAGCUACUUUUGCUGAUUUGCGCUUCAUCUGUAAAAGGAAAAUAUCUCUUCCCCCCCAAGUGAGCGAUUGUAGAUUUUUUCUCAAAUUGUAUUUGAUCACCGAGUGAAUUUAGUGCUCGCUCAAGUCCGUGGGCUGACUGCUUGGAAAUGGCUCUGCCUGUCUUUGGAGAAGUUACGGCAGAGACAGCAGAGACAGCGGCGGAGCAAUUGCCACAGAUUAUUUCCCAAUCUGCUGCCGGCCUCCUUUGGAAGAGCACCAUCAUUUCAGCCUCCAUUUCCACUUUUUGCUGAGGCUGCUGCUUACAAAGAUACUAAUUGCGAUGGCGGGUUUUAUGUUAAUGGGUUCCACGUAAUGAUCAGCCCGGCGACUCCAGACCUUCAGAUUGUUGGUUGGCUGUGCUGGGAAUAAAACUAAUGGCAUUUGGUUAUGAAAAUGUCAGACCUCUACGUGGUGAUCUAAACUGGGGGCCCAACAAGACCGAAAUCCAAGAGCCUCCCCACGAUUGCCGGGGGCUGGACCCAGGGAUGCCCUUGGAGAAGGAAAUUCCUUCUCCCCCAGAAGUGCCAUGCUUUGAGGGAGGGCAGCUCCUUGCUGGGAUGAUACUGGCGAGGAUUGGGGUGCCAGGCUGGGGUACCCCUGCUCUGGGGACAGGGUGUGGGGUGCUCGGAGCGACAGCCGGGGAUGGAGCUGCGCGAGUCUCCAAAUUCUGACUAACGCCGUAACCGGUUUGGUAGCUCUAAAAUAGGAUUUUAAUCCUGGGAAGCAUCAUUUCACAUUCCAGUGAUCUAAUCAAAAUCCUUUCCUCUAAUCUCUCCAUGGUCCCCCCUUUCUAGAUGAAAGAGGCUGGAGUUCCUGUCUUCACCCUUUCUCCGCUGCCUCCCUGUUCUACCAGUCUGUUCUGUGUCCAGGCAACUGCAAAAAGACAUUUCAAAGGCUCCUGCCGUGCCAUGUAGAUGUUUUCUCUUGUUAGUUUGGACUGCAGGUGUGUAAGCCUCGAGGAUGAAGUAUCGUGGUGCUGUUUUAGGUUCGGGGCACACAGUCGUGGCACAAUAAAUCACAUAGGAACGCUCCGCUUUGAACGCGCGCGCACAGAAAAGGGAAAAGAAAAAAGCAUCUGACCUGAAUCAUUUUCUGGAAACACAUCUGGUUAAAAUCCAAAGUUUUAAAUUGAGUAAUAUUUUAAAAUACAUUUGGAUCAAGUCCCUCGUUUGCCAUUUUGUGUGGCAGCAAGCCCAAGGAAAUCUUGCUUGACAGCUCUGUUUUCUCAAAGUGCUGCAUUUCUUCGGGCUGGAUUCUGCAAAGAUCCUGCAGGCUACAGAGCUCCUUGGAGCAAGUGAUAAUGUGCUUUGUGUUCCUGCUGAAAUGUACCUGUGCACAGUGGGAGAGGGAGCUUGGAAAACUGGGUGCAGCCUGGCAAGAAGAUGGUUAGAAUAAAGUUUUCUUGGAUUUUUA